CACAUGCAAGUCGAGGGAGGAGCUUUCGGGCUUCGACCGGCGUACGGGUGCGUAACGCGUAUACAAUCUGCCUUUCACAUAGGGAUAGCCCGAAGAAAUUUGGAUUAAUACCUAAUGGCAUAUAGGGGUGGCAUCACCUUUAUAUUAAAGCUGAGGCGGUGAAAGAUGAGUAUGCGUUCUAUUAGCAAGUUGGAGAGGUAACGGCUCCCCAAGGCUACGAUAGAUAGGGGUUCUGAGAGGGAUAUCCCCCACACUGGUACUGAGAUACGGACCAGACUCCUACGGGAGGCAGCAGUGAGGAAUAUUGGACAAUGGUCGGAAGACUGAUCCAGCCAUGCCGCGUGCAGGAAGACGGCCUUAUGGGUUGUAAACUGCUUUUGCAGGGGAAGAAUAAGGAGUACGUGUACUUUGAUGACGGUACUCUGCGAAUAAGCAUCGGCUAACUCCGUGCCAGCAGCCGCGGUAAUACGGAGGAUGCGAGCGUUAUCCGGAAUCAUUGGGUUUAAAGGGUCCGUAGGCGGGCUAAUAAGUCAGAGGUGAAAGCGCUCAGCUCAACUGAGCAACUGCCUUUGAAACUGUUAGUCUUGAAUGGUUGUGAAGUAGUUGGAAUGUGUAGUGUAGCGGUGAAAUGCUUAGAUAUUACACAGAACACCGAUAGCGAAGGCAUAUUACUAACAACUAAUUGACGCUGAUGGACGAAAGCGUGGGGAGCGAACAGGAUUAGAUACCCCUGGUAGUCCACUCUGUAAAACGAUGGAUAUUAGCUGUUUGGAUGAAAGUUUGAGUGGCUAAGCGAAAGCGAUAAGUAUCCCACCUGGGGAGUACGC
rnacentral:rRNA from 1 species